AUGGCUUGUGAUUGUUUCCCGUUCUGUCAGUCGCGUUGUGCAAAUGAACAAAUCUCUGCCGCAGACCGAGGAAAUGAGGCCGAAGGCCGAACAUCUAGACGGCAUUUUAAGAGCACGCAACUCCAGAAGAGAAUUCAAGAAUUGAACAUGUUUGUCGUGGGAACCUCCGCCCCCUCCCUCAAGGUGGAGACCCCUGUACACCAGGUUCUUGCAUCAUUGUUUCUCAAAUCCAUAAAAAACAUUAUUUGACUUUUCUUGUAACCAUCACAUUCCUCGUCGCCUCACCACUGAACCCAUCGAGCCGCAUGGUUAUCAAUAUAUCUACCGUCUACCGUCUCAUCUGGAACUGCUUGUCAGAAGACCCCACAGGGCACGAAUGAGCCCCGUGCUCUACAGUUACUCACCUCACAUACAUAGUUUCCUCACUUAUACUUCGAUAACAUCACAGGUGUGAGUUGCAUCUACUUCCUGUUCCUCUCUGAUUUCUCGCUCGGGGAAAGGAGUUGGUCAUAUUGCAAAUUGCCGGCCUUUACUGGCAAUGAGAAUUACAUGCAUUAAAGUAAUUGACUCCAAUGUAAUUAAAGUUGCAUUCCUGUUUAAUCAAAGGUCCCGAAUCGCUGCUGCUGCUGCCGCGAGAACUUUGAUAACACAGAGGAGGCAGUGUGCUGAAAAUGGGCCGAAUCUUCUGGAAUGGGCGCUGACUUAUUUGUAGGUGGUCUAAUCAUCUCAGCUCCUCACCCAGACCCAUCUUCAUCGGCUUUUAUUCCCCCCCACAGUGACAUCAUUUGAGUCUGUGACGAACACACCGCACACACACACAGACACACACACACACCUCGCAUAUGUGGUGCUGCUGACCCAAGAAGACAAAUCAGAACAGCCUCGGGCCUCGGCCUGCCCAACCAAAGAGGUGAGGUCAUCCGACAGAACCUCAUUUUCCCUCAAAUUGCACCUCUGAUCAGCGCGGUGUUUCCUGCAACAAUUACACUGACCCCAAGUCCUCAUUAGCAAAUAGUGUGGAGGAGGGAGGAGAAUUUAAAAAAAAGAAGGACAAAGACCACUUGGUUUGUGAGGAGCAUGAUGUUUGGUUCAGAGAGAGGGGUAUUUGUGAUUUUUUUCUUUCUAACCCUACUCUUUUAUCUCCCGUCAUGUCUUGGGGCUUCUUCUCCACAUCACCGUUUGAUUAGUGAAUCCCGGGUUCUGCAUCAUGUGCUGGGAGUCUGAGGAGGAGAGCGCUCCGCGGUAAUGCAGAGGUCACGGUGCUGCGUCCCUCACAAGAAGCCUGUCUGAGUUCCUGAUAAAUGGAUUGACUCAUUCCGAGAGGAGAAUUCUGCCAUUUCAAAAGGAGAAAAGAAGACAUGAAAGUGAAGCUCUUUAGGUUGUUAAUUAUGAGGGUUGAAUUACCUGCAGCAUUUAUUUUUCUUUCCUGGUUUAUUAGUUCGUGACAUGUAAAUUUAUAUUGCAGUUAAUCACUACAACUCUGACAACAUGCUGCAAAAGCUUUGCAUCCAAUUAGAGGGCUCAUAUUUCUCCUUAAUAUAUUCACUCACCAAGACAAUGACUCAUAUAAAGACAAUAUGCACCUGGCACGUUUGAGGUCACAUACAGGACAACUGUUAAUGUAUUAUUUUGUAGCUGUAUAUAGCUCCAUGAUUAUGGCAAAUCUUGGUCUGUGGUGCCACCUAUGAAAUCCAGACUGGAAUAUCUCAACAACUAUUGGAUGAUUUGAUAGAGAUGUUUAUGGUUUCUACAGGAUCCAACAAAGUGGUGGUUGAUCUCUCGGUUUAGUGCCAUAGAUUUGAUUCGCCCAGAGAUUGACAACUUCAAUAUCCAUUCUAUUCGCAUUUGUUAUGAAUGCCAAUGGCUGUUUCUAUCAUGUCUCAUCUUAAAAUAUCUUAAAGAAUUUGGCGAUCCCCCUCCAGAGGUUCACAUUUGUGGAUUUGAGUCAAACACCUUGACAACCUUCGGAUGAAUGGGCCCAAAAAUUCCUCACAAACUCUUGUUACAUUGGUAAUCCUCGUUACUCUGUCCACUACUUUGGUUUCUGACGCCACCCGUUGGUUUGUGAGCUGCCGUUUUGAAGCCUUGAAUUUCGCAUUUUGACCAGCGCCACGUUUGUUUUUUGGCACUGAUUGGAUGAACCAGCGGUCACGCUGUAUCCACGCUACGGUAUACAUUGGCUAUUGUCUAUUGUCUAUUUGACUCCAAAUGGACCAUAAUUUACUAAAUGAAAAUCAUGCGGUAUUGAAGAAGACUUGAAACUAGAGAUUGGACCAUAAACUAAUCAGGAAAAUGUUUACUGACGUUAUAAAUCAAGUGAGAAGUAGAGUCAAUUUCUCAUAGACUUCUGUAGAAACAUGGAGUGGAGUCGCCCUCUGCUGGGGAAUCCAGAGAAUACAGGCUUCAGGCGCUUCCGCAUUGGCUUAAUUUUCCGAACUUGGUGACUAUACGUCCAUUUUUAUAUACAGUAUGCUUAAUACAUGUAAAUCUAAUGGCCCUGCAGCUGCACCAAAUGCUAACAUGUUAGCAUGCUUGUACUUUAUGAUAUUCAAAAUAAUCACUAAAUAACAUCCAUUUUGAGUCUUAUUAUUUUCAAUAAAUCUUGAAGACAUAUUUUUGCUCUAAUCUCAGACAGAAAAUCCGUCGGUAUCUCAAAAUAAUGACCAUCCCUCUGUUUUUUCAUAUGCUCAAACACGCUUGUUCCGUCUCACCCACUUCUUGUUUGCAGAAAUAUAUAUGUACAGUUUCGGGCGAUGCAAGAACCUGAUUCAUCCUCAAAACACGGGGGCCCGCCGAGCAAGAGCUGGAAACUGUCGUAAUUCAUUCAUGCUGCUGCAGGCCAAACCGCUCCCACUUGAGUCGGUUUGAUCUACGAGUGUCCGCGAGCCCCAGACACAUGUAAAUGUACACCAAACUAAUUGGUGCAGCAACAGUCAGGGGGUUUUAAAUCAGCACUUGUAUCACCUGUUCCCUGGAACCAGAGGGAGGGAGAGAAGAGAAACACCUUUGCUGAUUACCCCGUGAUUUGUUUCACUUUUCUCAGGUUCACAUCUGUAUGACUUUGUGCUUUGGUCUGAUCUUUGCUCUGAAUUACUACAUUUUGAGAUGCAUUUUAGGUCAAUAUGUUCAUAAAAUAUGAGCUUUUAAAAACGUUCCCGUUUUCGUAGAGCUGCUGGAAGGAGAAGACAGUGAUGAACCCCCCGCUCACCAGGAAAACUGAGCACGUCCAAAACCGUUACAUGUGCAACCUGGAACAAAUGUUUAUGCAGCUUUUGACAAAAGCAAUUGAUGGAAAUGUUUCGUUGUUCGUAAAGACGCCAAAAG
ensembl:lncRNA